rnacentral:rRNA from 1 species
AGACCCGAAACCCGGUGAUCUAGCCAUGGGCAGGUUGAAGGUUGGGUAACACUAACUGGAGGACCGAACCGACUAAUGUUGAAAAAUUAGCGGAUGACCUGUGGCUGGGGGUGAAAGGCCAAUCAAACCGGGAGAUAGCUGGUUCUCCCCGAAAGCUAUUUAGGUAGCGCCUCGUGAAUUCAUCUCCGGGGGUAGAGCACUGUUUCGGCCAGGGGGCCAUCCCGGCUUACCAACCCGAUGCAAACUGCGAAUACCGGAGAAUGUUAUCACGGGAGACACACGGCGGGUGCUAACGUCCGUCGUGAAGAGGGAAACAACCCAGACCGCCAGCUAAGGUCCCAAAGUCAUGGUUAAGUGGGAAACGAUGUGGGAAGGCCCAGACAGCCAGGAUGUUGGCUUAGAAGCAGCCAUCAUUUAAAGAAAGCGUAAUAGCUCACUGGUCGAGUCGGCCUGCGCGGAA